rnacentral:rRNA from 1 species
CCUACGGGGGGCAGCAGUGGGGGAUAUUGCACAAUGGGGGAAACCCUGAUGCAGCGACGCCGCGUGUGGGAAGACGGUCCUCUGGAUUGUAAACCACUGUCCCCAGGGACGAAGAUGACGGUACCUGGGGAGGAAGCUCCGGCUAACUACGUGCCAGCAGCCGCGGUAAUACGUAGGGAGCAAGCGUUGUCCGGAAUUACUGGGUGUAAGGGGAGCGUAGGCGGGAUGGCAAGUUGGGUGUUAAAUCUACCGGCUCAACUGGUAGUCGCACUCAAAACUGCUAUUCUUGAGUGAAGUAGAGGCAGGCGGAAUUCCUAGUGUAGCGGUGAAAUGCGUAGAUAUUAGGAGGAACACCAGUGGCGAAGGCGGUCUGCUGGACAGCAACUGACGCUGAGGCGCGAAAGCGUGGGGAGCAAACAGGAUUAGAUACCCUUGUAGUC